rnacentral:rRNA from 1 species
UAACACCGGCAGCUCAAGUGGUAGCUGUUUUUAUUGGGCCUAAAGCGUUCGUAGCCGGUUUGAUAAGUCUUUGGUGAAAGCUUGUAGCUUAACUAUAAGAAUUGCUGAAGAUACUGUCAGACUUGAAGUCGGGAGAGGUUAGAGGUACUACCGGGGUAGGGGUGAAAUCCUAUAAUCCUGGGAGGACCACCUGUGGCGAAGGCGUCUAACUGGAACGAUCUUGACGGUGAGUAACGAAAGCCAGGGGCGCGAACCGG